AGGACGAACGCUGGCGGCGUGCUUAACACAUGCAAGUCGAGCGGAAAGGCCCUUCGGGGUACUCGAGCGGCGAACGGGUGAGUAACACGUGAGCAACCUGCCCUUAGCUUCGGGAUAGCUCCGGGAAACCGGAAUUAAUACCGAAUAUGACUUUGGCUGACAUCAGCAGAAGUGGAAAGUUUUUCGGCUAGGGAUGGACUCGCGGCCUAUCAGCUAGUUGGUGAGGUAACGGCCCACCAAGGCGACGACGGGUAGCCGGCCUGAGAGGGCGACCGGCCACACUGGGACUGAGACACGGCCCAGACUCCUACGGGAGGCAGCAGUGGGGAAUAUUGCGCAAUGGGCGAAAGCCUGACGCAGCGACGCCGCGUGGGGGAUGAAUGCCUUCGGGUUGUAAACCCCUUUCAGCAGGGACGAAGCGAAAGUGACGGUACUGCAGAAGAAGCGCCGGCUAACUACGCGCCAGCAGCCGC
rnacentral:rRNA from 1 species